ACCAACAAUUUGUUUCCAAAUUAUAUGUGGACACACCAUGCUAAAAUCUUUAGUUAGUAUCGAUUCUGCGGAACAGCUGAUAAGCAAUUAAAUAAAUUAAAUUCAAAUAUGGCCGGGAUCAAAAAGGAUCGCCAAAAGGACACCAGUGCCGCCAGGCACAGUGGAGCCUGAGGCGCUGAUUCAACGUGCCAUCAAAUGGAGCAUUUCAUGGCAGGGACACUCGGUCUUGCACAAGCUCAUUGGCUACCUUGAGUGUCUCGGUUAGCACGAGCGCGUCUACCUUGAGCGGUCCCUUCAGUGUCUCGGGUAGCACGACCGCGGCUCCUGCUAUUCCGUCGCAGAUCACGAGCCGGGCUCCCUCAAGUGCUGCUGCUAAUCUCUUCGAGAUAGAGACAUUACAGAUCGACGAUGAGCAGAACCAAUCGCGAAGGUAAUGGGAAGGGAUCGCAGGGCCCGCAGAAAGUCAGUAGAUUUUUGGAAUCCCAACGACAAACCCCCGAUAUUUUCGAUUUGCAAAAUGGCACCCGUGCUCACCGGGCACCACCGGGCCUUCAUGCCCCUCGCGGCAUGACAACUCGAUCCCGGGACAACUCGAUCCCGCGCGCAAAUGCUCCUACACGAGCGUCCAUUCCGCAGCGAAUAUUGCAGCAAGUCUAUCGUGACCAGGGCAGACUGCAGGUCCCAUCAAAUACAACACACCAUGAGCCGCGAGCACAGCUGCCACAUCUGCAGGUUAAGAUUUAAGCUAAGGAAUCAUUUUAUGACCCAUCUGAAAUCAGGGGCCCACAGAAGUGCGAGACAAAGGCCCACUUUCUGUUGAAUCAGAGUAUUUCCCAAGGAGCCUAUAACGCCGCCUUCUAUUCUAUGGGAAGGACAUUUUGCGAUCAGAAGAAUGCGGUAUCCAAUGCCAAGAUGUUGAAGGCCCUUGGUGAUUCAUCAGGCAUAUGAUUUUAUAUAUGUACAUAUACUACAUAUGUUAUAUGUAUAACCAAAAAAAAAAAACUAAGCACUCGUGUGGAGAUCUUAGCAUUUCAUCGCAGACUUUGCCCUUGUGAAAAUUUUCCAUGAAGUCAGCAGCGUACACGUGCCCGAAAUGAGGGGCUUUUACUUUUGCAUACAUUCUAGUUUGUUUUGUUUAUUUAAUCAUAUUAUAUCAUGCGAGAGGUAAUCAUAAUUUUCUUUUGUCUGCCGUCUGAGGAGACUGUUCGACUGUUGUACAAUUAAACAAACAUUAUCACAAUCUUA